rnacentral:rRNA from 1 species
GAUGAACGCUGGCGGCGUGCUUAACACAUGCAAGUCGAACGAUGAAGCCCAGCUUGCUGGGUGGAUUAGUGGCGAAUGGGUGAGUAACACGUGAGUAACCUGCCCUUAACUCUGGGAUAAGCCUGGGAAACUGGGUCUAAUACCGGAUAGGAGCGCCUACCGCAUGGUGGGUGUUGGAAAGAUUUAUCGGUUUUGGAUGGACUCGCGGCCUAUCAGCUUGUUGGUGAGGUAAUGGCUCACCAAGGCGACGACGGGUAGCCGGCCUGAGAGGGUGACCGGCCACACUGGGACUGAGACACGGCCCAGACUCCUACGGGAGGCAGCAGUGGGGAAUAUUGCACAAUGGGCGAAAGCCUGAUGCAGCGACGCCGCGUGAGGGAUGACGGCCUUCGGGUUGUAAACCUCUUUCAGUAGGGAAGAAGCGAAAGUGACGGUACCUGCAGAAGAAGCACCGGCUAACUACGUG